rnacentral:rRNA from 1 species
ACGGGUGAGUAAUACAUCGGAACGUAUCCUGGAGUGGGGGAUAGUCCGGCGAAAGCCGGAUUAAUACCGCAUACGCUCUGAGGAGGAAAGCGGGGGACCUUCGGGCCUCGCGCUCAAGGGGCGGCCGAUGGCGGAUUAGGUAGUUGGUGGGGUAAAGGCCUACCAAGCCGACGAUCCGUAGCUGGUCUGAGAGGACGACCAGCCACACUGGGACUGAGACACGGCCCAGACUCCUACGGGAGGCAGCAGUGGGGAAUUUUGGACAAUGGGGGCAACCCUGAUCCAGCAAUGCCGCGUGUGUGAAGAAGGCCUUCGGGUUGUAAAGCACUUUUGUCCGGAAAGAAAUCAUCGGGGCCAAUACCCCUGGUGGAUGACGGUACCGGAAGAAUAAGCACCGGCUAACUACGUGCCAGCAGCCGCGGUAAUACGUAGGGUGCGAGCGUUAAUCGGAAUUACUGGGCGUAAAGCGUGCGCAGGCGGUGCUGUAAGACCGAUGUGAAAUCCCCGGGCUUAACCUGGGAACUGCAUUGGUGACUGCAGCGCUGGAGUAUGGCAGAGGGGGGUGGAAUUCCACGU